rnacentral:rRNA from 1 species
AGAACGAACGCUGGCGGCAGGCUUAACACAUGCAAGUCGAACGGUUGUAGCAAUACAGCAGUGGCAGACGGGUGAGUAACACGUGGGAACCUUCCUAGGGGGUACGGAACAACUCAGGGAAACUUGAGCUAAUACCGUAUACGUCCGUGAGGAGAAAGUUUUAACGCCCCUAGACGGGCCCGCGUAGGAUUAGGUAGUUGGUGAGGUAACGGCUCACCAAGCCUACGAUCCUUAGCUGAUCUGAGAGGAUGAUCAGCCACACUGGGACUGAGACACGGCCCAGACUCCUACGGGAGGCAGCAGUGGGGAAUCUUGGACAAUGGGCGCAAGCCUGAUCCAGCCAUGCCGCGUGAGUGAAGAAGGCCUUCGGGUUGUAAAGCUCUUUACAGGACGAUAAUGACGGUACCUGGAGAAUAAGCCCCGGCAAACCUUCGCGCCAGCACGCCGC